GAUCUUCAGCUAGAGGCUCCCAUCUGUACGAAUAUCUCCCCCCUCUUUAAUGGCAACAAGAGAGUUGAAAAGUCAACAGAGAUAAAUUCCGUGUCAAUUUUUUCGUUAUUUGCCAAAAAUGCGCUCCAUCUUCUCUAAAAACGCAAACUCUUUUCCUUUUAAUUUACGAUUCCUCUCCAUUGUUAGUUUGUUGACAUCGCCGACGCCAUCACUAGCAGCAGUACCACCACCGGCGUAACCAGCGCUUCCACCUCCUCUGCCACAUAAAAUCUCUCUUUAUCCACCAGCACCACCACCAACACCGGUAGCACUACGAAUUGAAUUGAUGAAGCUGAUGAUUUUACUCGAUUGAUUUUCGUAAUCAAAUCGAUUUCCCCCAAAAUAUUAACGAUUGUUAUGAAGAUGGUGGUUCAGAUUUAUUCUAAAUUAUGAUAAAUUAGUUUGGUUUCAUCUUUUUCGAUUAGGGCGCUGUCAUAUAGGAGACUACGGCGAAUUUUUCAUCAGAGCUGUAACAGUAAUUAUCACUCGAGGCUUCGUCUACCUCGACUACUGAGAUUGGCUGAGACAAGGUGUAUUCCCAGUUAAGCAUCCACUUCAUGCAGUCGAUGGUACACCAUUGUUGGGGAAGUAAAGGGAUAUUCUGACAACAAGUUCGAACGCAAGUGUCAAAGGUGGUAGGUAAUCCGAAUUGAAACACUUAACAUCAAAGUCAGUAUUCAAAAGGAUAAGACUUUGUGUAUACUUAGUUUUAGUUGUGUUAGGCGUAAGCGGGAAACACCAAUUUUAGUAGUUAAGACUAAAUUUGGAUGAUCAUAGCGUUGUUGUGAUGUUUGAUGUAUAUUCAUCACAUGCGUGUUCGCCUGUUCAUUUGUUUUUUAAAAGUGUAUGAGAAACUGUAGAAUUUUGUAGGAA